CUAUUUAGAGCUUACAGCAGCUGUAUAAAAACAGGCAGACCAGAAGUGAUUCUGACAAGUCAGGAGCAAGCUUCUCUAAACUGUGAAAAGAUUACUAUCCAGAAACAUUUAGAAAAACAGAAAAAUGGCAAGUGUUCCAUCAGCUGGAUGUCUGCUAGCAAAAAACCAGUUCUACCGAAAACGACUCAGCUCUGCCUCAAGCAAUUCCUCAACAAAUUCCUCAACAAAUUCAUCAACGUGUUGUGAUCUUGUGGGAGAUCCGGAAAAGACUCCCAUGCCACAUGGUGUACAUAUGCCGUUUGAGAAGUGCUGGUGGCUGAAGAAGUUUUUAACAUGUGAUGUGGUGCAUCAUAAUAUCGCAGAAACUUCAUUGGUAAAUGGUGCUAAGGUAGUCUCCAUGAUGCUGGCGGAUGCAUGACUGUAGAAAUCAGGCUGUAAACUGAAAAGGCCUUGUGAGGGCUACGUGUCUCAGACCACCGUCUCCGCAGAUAGAUGGUGCAGCACUUAUCGAAAAAGGAGGUGAAAGGUUACCCUCUGGCAGAAGUUAGUGUUCUUUGGUUGCCAAGUAUGUACAAAUGUUAUAUAAUCUUUGGCUGUGAGUCACUAUGGGUGGCAUUAAAAGUACAAUACUCAAGUGCAUAUACUGUAAAGAAGAACAAAAGUGAGUGUCUUGGUUGUGACUACCCAAUUAAUUAGUCAGUGCAGAUAAAUGACAAAAUAACAAAAUGCAAAAUGACACCAGUAGCUAAACAGACCCUUGAGCCUGGACCUGAACCUAAAUUUUAAGGCCAUGAAGCACUGUCAUAUACAUAAGCUGCCAUUCACUUAGGCUUGAGCUUACUGAAGCAGAGCCUGUCAGAUUAAGAAUAUUUUUUUGCCAAGACCUGAUUAAUCUCAGAAGGUUUGCAAUUUAAGGCUUCAGGUUAAUACGUUUCUCUGGUCUCAAUUUGCACAUAACUUUGAAGAUUAUAUUUGCAUAAUUGCUUCUGCAGACAGGAGUGAAAAGGAAUGCAUAAGAUUGUAAUUUCUUAUGUUUUGAUGAUUUCUUUUUGUGAAAAGUAAUGUGAAACUCUUAAUACGUGAAGUAAUUAUACAUCUGCAAUUCUCUUUUGGUGAUGAAACUUUUGAAAACUUGAAAAAAAAUUCAUGUAACUAAAUAAUUAAGGUUGCAGACAAUUUUUGUGUUUCCUCUUACCUGAGUUAUUCAUAUACUAAUAUUUUAUUAUUUUUUAUUUAUUCGUGCCAUAUAUGGUUAUACACUUUGUUGUACGUCGCUCUGGAUAAGAGCGUCUGCCAAAUGCCUGUAAUGUAAUUUAAUGUAAUAUAGACUUGCACUGUUACAGUUUUUGUAAUAUACAGGAUGUUAUGCAAGUCUAUAAAUGUAUCAAGUUUUUGUUUAUUAGGUAUUCAUACAUACAGGUUUUAUUUUGUCUAACAUGUUCAAAUAAUUAUAUUAAUAUGGCCACACCUCCAACACAUAAAUAGGAAUUUUAUAAACAGUUUACUUCAUAAAUGCUGAAAGUGCAUUGUACAGUUAUGUGAACCAACAUCUUAACUGGUGCACUCAAUAAAAAUUAUAUCCAUUUAUGCUAUAUCCUUUUAUAUCAGUGUGGCAUUAGGUCUGGUGGUGAACCGGACUGGGCUUGGCUGCGACAGGUGGUGGAGAGAUCACACGCACCUGGGUUGCGUUAAUUAAUCAGCCCAGGUGCUUAAAGGUGUGUUCCUCUCCACAGUUUGGGGCUGAGACCGGAAGCUCACACUGAGGGUACGUUUUUUGUUUGUAUUUCAUUUAAUUUCAGUUUUAUUUCUUAGAAAAUGAUGGAGAAUGUAAACUGCCACUGAAAAGUAGUAGGAGCUGGUGUAAAGUGGGUCAGCUAUGAGUGGCACACUGUAAAGUGGUCGCUCUGUUUUACUUUUUUUUGUCUUUCUUAUUUUAGUUUGUUGUUUUAGUUUAUUGUUUUUGCCCGAAACCUGUGAGGGGGGAGGGCGUUUAUUUAAUUUCGUGUUUGUGCGGGUGCUCUCUUUCUCUCUUCAUGGGGCAACCAACAUUGUCUCCCUCCCAGGGGUGUCACACUGGAAUGUGACAAUCAGUGUUUAUAGUCUACUUCUGAAUGUGUAGGGCACCAUAACUCAUCCAACAGCAUAAUGGCAUUUACCAAGCACAGUACAUUAAUGCUAUUAGCCUAACGGGGAACUUGCUUUACUGCUUGUAUAUCCUUGUAAUGUAGAACUGAGAAGUCCGAUUCAUGCAGUAAACCUAUUUUCUUGCAA